rnacentral:rRNA from 1 species
UAAUACGAGGGAUGCAAGCGUUAUCCGGAAUUAUUGGGCGUAAAGAGUUUGUAGGUGGUCAAAUGUGUUUUGGUGUUAAAUAUUAAAGCUUAACUUUGAAAUGGCAUCAAAACUAUUAGACUUGAGUAUGAUAGAGGCAAAGGGAAUUCCUAGUGUAGCGGUGAAAUGCGUAGAUAUUAGGAAGAACACCUAUGGCGAAAGCACUUUGCUAGGUUAAUACUGACACUGAGAAACGAGAGCUAAGGUAGCAAACGGGAUUAGAUACCCGGUAGUCUUAGCCGUAAACAAUGGAUACUAAGUGGUGCUUCUUUGUGCUACUGUAGCUAACGCGUUAAGUAUCCCGCCUGGGGAGUACGCUUGCAAAGUGAAACUCAAAGGAAUUGACGGGGGCCCGGCACAAGCGGUGGAGCAUGUGGUUUAAUUCGACGCAACACGAAGAACCUUACCAGGGUUUGACAUGCUAGGAAGCAGAUUGAAAGAUUUGUGUGCCUUCGGGAACCUAGACACAGGUGGUGCAU